rnacentral:tRNA from 1 species
UGAGGUGUAGCCAAGCGACAAGGCAGCGGACUUUGGCUCCGUCAUAGUUGGUUCGAAUCCAGCCACCCCAG